rnacentral:rRNA from 1 species
ACAUGGGCGAGAGCCUGAUCCAGCCAUGCCGCGUGCAGGAAGACUGCCCUAUGGGUUGUAAACUGCUUUUAUACGGGAAGAAACACUCCUACGUGUAGGAAUUUGACGGUACCGUAAGAAUAAGCAUCGGCUAACUCCGUGCCAGCAGCCGCGGUAAUACGGAGGAUGCAAGCGUUAUCCGGAAUCAUUGGGUUUAAAGGGUCCGUAGGCGGGCAGUUAAGUCAGGGGUGAAAGUUUGCGGCUCAACCGUAAAAUUGCCUCUGAUACUGAUKGUCUUGAAUUAGUGUGAAGUGGUUAGAAU